AGUGAACGCUGGCGGUAGGCCUAACACAUGCAAGUCGAACGGCAGCACAGUAAGAGCUUGCUCUUACGGGUGGCGAGUGGCGGACGGGUGAGGAAUACAUCGGAAUCUACUUUUUCGUGGGGGAUAACGUAGGGAAACUUACGCUAAUACCGCAUACGACCUACGGGUGAAAGCAGGGGAUCUUCGGACCUUGCGCGAUUGAAUGAGCCGAUGUCGGAUUAGCUAGUUGGCGGGGUAAAGGCCCACCAAGGCGACGAUCCGUAGCUGGUCUGAGAGGAUGAUCAGCCACACUGGAACUGAGACACGGUCCAGACUCCUACGGGAGGCAGCAGUGGGGAAUAUUGGACAAUGGGUGCAAGCCUGAUCCAGCCAUACCGCGUGGGUGAAGAAGGCCUUCGGGUUGUAAAGCCCUUCUGUUGGGAAAGAAAAGCAGCAGGUUAAUACCCCGCUGUUCUGACGGUACCCAAAGAAUAAGCACCGGCUAACUUCGUG
rnacentral:rRNA from 1 species